GGCACGCUUAUCUGAAGAUGAUGACCGUCGUUCAAGAUCUAGGGACCGCCGUUCAAGAUCUAGGGAUGUUGAUUAUGGGAAGAGGCGGCGGCUUACUUCUGAGUAGCUUCUUUGUUUUGGUUAGUUCCUUGAGAAACAAAGAAAUGUGAAAAAAACUCUCGGCUUUGCCACGCUUAUUGGACUUUUCUUUGGAUCCUUGUUUCUUCAAUGGCUGCGCUGCUUUCACUUUCUCACUUCUACAUAACAGGAGUGCAAUUUAAUACUGUGUGGUCAAAGAGCUUAGUUGUGAAGUAGAAAGUAGAGUUGCCUUGAAGAUGAAGAGGACCUAACCUUUAACAUUCAAGAGCGCAUAGUGUUUCCCUUUCUCUCCUUGGAUUUAGAAGAUGAACUCCUGCUUUUAGUUUUAGCUUUUACUUUUCCUUUUUAAUGUUUAACUUACUCGAGCACUUAAUGAAAUAGAUGUUGUGUUAUGGCCUGAAAUUUGCUGGAAGAGUCUGAAAUGUAGUAGAUUCUGAAUGUGAUAUUUGAAUGUUGUAAUAGGAACUCAUAUGCCUUUUUUCUAAUUGGCUAGUUGUAUCAUCUUUCCCCAUCUUUUUUGUUGGGGAUAUAUCACCAUGCUGAUUGUUUGAGAUAGUUGAAGAUGUAGAAUACUAAUGAUGAUUCUUUGAGAGAAAUUUUCCAUCAUGUACAUACCAAAAAGCUGAUGGAUGCUUUUUUUAUCCUGUACAUUGUUGAAUAGAUUCAAUUUCAUAAUGACUUUCUUUUUA
rnacentral:lncRNA from 1 species